AGUGAACGCUGGCGGUAGGCCUAACACAUGCAAGUCGAACGGCAGCACAGUAAGAGCUUGCUCUUACGGGUGGCGAGUGGCGGACGGGUGAGGAAUACAUCGGAAUCUACUUUUUCGUGGGGGAUAACGUAGGGAAACUUACGCUAAUACCGCAUACGACCUACGGGUGAAAGCAGAGGAUAUUCGGACCUUGCGCGAUUGAAUGAGACGAUGUCGGAUUAGCUAGUUGGCGGGGUAAAGGCCCACCAAGGCGACGCUCCGUAGCUGGUCUGAGAGGAUGAUCAGCCACACUGGAACUGAGACACGGUCCAGACUCCUACGGGAGGCAGCAGUGGGGAAUAUUGGACAAUGGGCGCAAGCCUGAUCCAGCCAUACCGCGUGGGUGAUGAAGGCCUUCGGGUUGUAAAGCCCUUUUGUUGGGAAAGAAAAGCAGCAGGUUAAUACCCCGCUGUUCUGACGGUACCCAAAGAAUAAGCACCGGCUAACUUCGUG
rnacentral:rRNA from 1 species